rnacentral:rRNA from 1 species
UAGGGAAUCUUCGGCAAUGGACGGAAGUCUGACCGAGCAACGCCGCGUGAGUGAAGAAGGUUUUCGGAUCGUAAAGCUCUGUUGUAAGAGAAGAACGAGUGUGAGAGUGGAAAGUUCACACUGUGACGGUAUCUUACCAGAAAGGGACGGCUAACUACGUGCCAGCAGCCGCGGUAAUACGUAGGUCCCGAGCGUUGUCCGGAUUUAUUGGGCGUAAAGCGAGCGCAGGCGGUUAGAUAAGUCUGAAGUUAAAGGCUGUGGCUUAACCAUAGUACGCUUUGGAAACUGUUUAACUUGAGUGCAAGAGGGGAGAGUGGAAUUCCAUGUGUAGCGGUGAAAUGCGUAGAUAUAUGGAGGAACACCGGUGGCGAAAGCGGCUCUCUGGCUUGUAACUGACGCUGAGGCUCGAAAGCGUGGGGAGCAAACAGGAUUAGAUACCCUGGUAGUCCACGCCGUAAACGAUGAGUGCUAGGUGUUAGACCCUUUCCGGGGUUUAGUGCCGCAGCUAACACAUUAAGCACUCCGCCUGGGGAGUACGACCGCAAGGUUG